GGCUCAGUGGUAGAGUGCUUGCCUUGUAUGCAUGAGGCCGUGGGUUCGAUUCCUC
rnacentral:tRNA from 1 species